AUGGUCAACCCCACCGUGUGUGUUCUUCAACAUCAUGGCCGAUGACAAGCCCUUGGGCCGCAUCUCCUUCGAGCUGUUUGCAGACAGAGCUCCAAAGACAGCAGAAAACUUCCAUGCUCUGAGCACGAAAGGAGAGAAAAGAUUGGCUAUAAGGGUUCCCCCUUUCACAGAAUUAUUCCAGGAUUCAUGGGCCAGGGUGGUGACUUCACACGCCAUAAUGGCACUGGUGGCAGGUCCAUCUACAGAGAGAAAUUUGAGGAUGAGAACUUCAUCCUGAAGCAUACAGGUCCUGGCACCUUGUCCAUGCUGAAUGCUGGACCAACACAAACGGUUCCCAGUGUUUUAUCUCCACUGCCAAGAAUGAAUGGCUGGAUGGCAAGCAUGUGGUCUUUGGGAAGGGGAAAGAAGGCAUGAACAUUGUGGAAGCCAUGGAGCGCUCUGGGUCCAGGAAUGGCAAGACCAUAAGAAGAUUGCCAUUUCUGACCAUGAACAACUCUAA
rnacentral:lncRNA from 1 species